rnacentral:rRNA from 1 species
GGCUAACGCUGGCGGCGUGUCUUAGCCAUGCAAGUCGAGCGGACUUAUGGGGUAACUUAUAAGUCAGCGGCGGACGGCGGAGUAACACGUAGCUAACCUACCCUCUGGACGGGGAUAACCUACCGAAAGGUGGGCUAAUACCCGAUGUAGUCAUCCUGUAUAGGGGUGAUGAAAGGUGGGCUUCUGUUUACAAGCUCAUGCUGGAGGAGGGGGCUGCGGCCUAUCAGGUAGUUGGUAGGGUAAUAGCCUACCAAGCCGAUGACGGGUAGCCGGCCUGAGAGGGUGACCGGCCCGAGGGGCACUGAGAUACGGGUCCCACUCCUACGGGAGGCAGCAGGCUAGAAAUUUGGGCAAUGGGGGAAACCCUGACCCAGUGACGCCGCGUGCAGGAAGGAGCCCUUCGGGGUGUAAACUGCUGUCGUGUAGGGAGAAGGGUACUAAGGUGAACAAUCUUAGUACUUGACGGUACUACAGGAGGAAGCCCAGGCUAACCUCGUGCCAGCAGCCGCGGUAAGAGUA